AUUGAACGCUGGCGGCAUGCCUAACACAUGCAAGUCGAACGGCAGCACGGGGGCAACCCUGGUGGCGAGUGGCGGACGGGUGAGGAAUGCAUAGGAAUCUGCCCAGUUGUGGGGGAUAACGUAGGGAAACUUACGCUAAUACCGCAUACGACCUACGGGUGAAAGAGGGGGACCUUCGGGCCUCUCGCGAUUGGAUGAGCCUAUGCCGGAUUAGCUAGUUGGCGGGGUAAGAGCCCACCAAGGCGACGAUCCGUAGCUGGUCUGAGAGGAUGAUCAGCCACACUGGAACUGAGACACGGUCCAGACUCCUACGGGAGGCAGCAGUGGGGAAUAUUGGACAAUGGGCGCAAGCCUGAUCCAGCAAUGCCGCGUGUGUGAAGAAGGCCUUCGGGUUGUAAAGCACUUUUGUUUGGGAAGAAAUCCGGUUGGUUAAUACCUGAUCGGGAUGACGGUAC
rnacentral:rRNA from 1 species